UUCUUUCUUACAUUUUCUACUACUAUUCUGCCCUACCCCUAACCCCCAAUACAUUAUAAGCAUGACACAUAGUUACUAUGUGAUCCUAAACCCUUUCCCCUAAACCUAAUAUGUAACUCUAUUUAGCACCCCAUAAAUCUAAUAUUGUUAAGCUCAUGGCAUGAACACUUUGUGAUAGACUAUUGGUGUGGCUAUUUAAGUUCUGUAGUACUUCUAAGGGGUUAACCCGUGUGAAAAUAUGCUUCCACAUAUGAACUACUUGUCCCCAAUUCCUCUUUUCCCUCUUUAUGUUUGAACUAUGUAUGUUGAUUUGGUCUUGACUUGCUGAUUGUCCUAUUCUUUUCUUCUUCAAAAUGGUUUUCACUAAGGCAAACUCUUCUAUUGCCUUCCAAAGCUUAUUUCAGACUAAUCAUUGUCAAAACUGUUUCCAACUCAACUCUUUAAAUCUAUGUCAACCACUCUCACAUAUACUUUUAGACCACUGGGUUCUACCCCUUUGAGUGAG
rnacentral:lncRNA from 1 species